UACCCGCAGCACAAGUGGUGGUCAUUAUUAUUGGGCCUAAAGCGUCCGUAGCUGGCGUGUUAGAUGCCUGGGUAAAUCGAUGCGCUCAACGUAUCGAACUCCGGGUAGACCGGCAUGCUCGAGACCGGGAGAGGUGUAGGCUACUCGCGGGGUAGGGGUAAAAUCCUGUAAUCCUGCGGGGAGGACCAGUGGCGAAGGCGCUACACUAGAACGGCUCUGACAGUGAGGGACGAAGCCCUGGGGCGCAAACCGG
rnacentral:rRNA from 1 species